rnacentral:rRNA from 1 species
UACGUAGGGGGCAAGCGUUAUCCGGAAUGAUUGGGCGUAAAGCGUCUGUAGGUGGCUUUUCAAGUCCGCCGUCAAAUCCCAGGGCUCAACCCCGGGUCGGCCGUGCGGACUGGGAGCUCGAGCACUGUAGGGGCGGGUGGAAUUCCGGGUGUAGCGGUGGAAUGCGUAGAGAUCCGGAAGAACACCGGUGGCGAAGGCGGCCCGCUGGGCAGGAAGACCUCGUAAGAGGUCGGCUGACACUGAGGCGCGACAGCGUGGGGAGCAAACAGGG